GACGUAGGGCGCGAGCGUUGUCCGGAUUUAUUGGGCGUAAAGAGCUCGUAGGCGGCUUGUCGCGUCGUGUGUGAAAUCUCAGGGCUCAACCUUCAGAGGUCGACCGAAACCAUCUGGCUAGAGUCCGGGAGAGGAGAGUGGAAUUCCUGGUGUAGCGGUGAAAUGCGCAGAUAUCGGUAGGAACACCAGUGGCGAAGGCGGUCUCCUGGGACAUUCUUGACGCUGAGGCGCGAAAGCUGGGGGGAGCAAACGGG
rnacentral:rRNA from 1 species